rnacentral:rRNA from 1 species
CACGUAGGGUGCGAGCGUUUGUCCGGAAUUAUUGGGCGUAAAGAGCUCGUAGGCGGUGUGUCGCGUCGGCCGUGAAAACCUGCAGCUUAACUGUGGGCUUGCGGUCGAUACGGGCAUCACUGGAGUUCGGCAGGGGAGACUGGAAUUCCUGGUGUAGCGGUGAAAUGCGCAGAUAUCAGGAAGAACACCCGUGGCUAAGGCGGCUCUCUAGUACGGUACUGACGCUGAGACGCGAAAGCGUGGGGAGCGAACGGG